CCUUUGGAAGGCCCACUCAGCGUAAAGCUUCAACUAGGCCUCGUCUCAAGAAAAGAAAAUUAGGCCCGCUUCGAUUAAGUGGUGGACAGAGGGCCCGCUCCACCCAACAUGGGCCUGCGCGCGGGUGGGCAUGGAAUGAACGGCCCAGAGUCGUGGCCCGUGUACCAGACGAGACCAGCAGCGAAGCCAGCCGGAGCAGUGGGAGCACCAUGCCGCGGCACGCAGGACGGCUGCCGGCGUCGAGCAUUGUUGUCGUGCGAUGUGCGAGGAUGAAAGAUACAGGGAGAUUCAAGAGCUACCUGAG
rnacentral:lncRNA from 1 species